rnacentral:rRNA from 1 species
AUGACUUGUAAAGAUUUGCUUUGCCAUACCAGGAAUCGCUGCUCGAAUUUAUCGAAGCUUUUUUUUAAUCAGACUGUUCAGGCAAUCCUUGGUACAGAUUGCUAUUGCCAACCUGGUUAUUCUGUGCUUUGGUGUCGCUAUGACUCGCAUCGUGUUUGCGCUGGCUCAAGGAGGGAAAUGCGAACGCCAAACUUUUUCACCUCGUGGCUAAUGGACGAACGUGCCAAGGGCAUCCCAUCUCUUUGUUCUGGUUCCGACCUGAUCUUGGACCAAAAGGUUAUAGAUGAGGUGUUCUUCCAAGCAUAUGACCUGAGAUAUGUAUGCUGUGCCUGCGCAUUGAAGCGGCACUCUACAAUGUAUUAG